GACGAACGCUGGCGGCGUGCUUAACACAUGCAAGUCGAACGAUGAAGCCUUAGCUUGCUUUGGUGGAUUAGUGGCGAACGGGUGAGUAACACGUGAGCAACGUGCCCAGGACUCUGGAAUAACCGCGGGAAACCGUGGCUAAUACCGGAUAGGUGCCGAGGCCGCAUGGUCUUCGGUUGGAAAGUUUUUGCGGUUCUGGAUCGGCUCACGGCCUAUCAGCUUGUUGGUGGGGUAAUGGCCUACCAAGGCGACGACGGGUAGCCGGCCUGAGAGGGUGACCGGCCACACUGGGACUGAGACACGGCCCAGACUCCUACGGGAGGCAGCGGUGGGGAAUAUUGCACAAUGGGCGCAAGCCUGAUGCAGCAACGCCGCGUGGGGGAUGACGGCCUUCGGGUUGUAAACCUCUUUUAGUAGGGAAGAAGCGCAAGUGACGGUACCUGCAGAAAAAGCACCGGCUAACUACGUG
rnacentral:rRNA from 1 species